CACAGUAGGGAAUCUUCCGCAAUGGACGAAAGUCUGACGGAGCAACGCCGCGUGAGUGAUGAAGGUUUUCGGAUCGUAAAACUCUGUUGUUAGGGAAGAACAAGUACCGUUCGAAUAGGGCGGUACCUUGACGGUACCUAACCAGAAAGCCACGGCUAACUACGUGCCAGCAGCCGCGGUAAUACGUAGGUGGCAAGCGUUGUCCGGAAUUAUUGGGCGUAAAGCGCGCGCAGGCGGUUUCUUAAGUCUGAUGUGAAAGCCCCCGGCUCAACCGGGGAGGGUCAUUGGAAACUGGGGAACUUGAGUGCAGAAGAGGAGAGUGGAAUUCCACGUGUAGCGGUGAAAUGCGUAGAGAUGUGGAGGAACACCAGUGGCGAAGGCGACUCUCUGGUCUGUAACUGACGCUGAGGCGCGAAAGCGUGGGGAGCGAACAGGAUUAGAUACCCUGGUAGUCCACGCCGUAAACGAUGAGUGCUAAGUGUUAGAGGGUUUCCGCCCUUUAGUGCUGCAGCAAACGCAUUAAGCACUCCGCCUGGAGACUCA
rnacentral:rRNA from 1 species